AUUGAACGCUGGCGGCAGGCCUAACACAUGCAAGUCGAGCGAGCGGCGGACGGGUGAGGAAUGUCUGGGAAACUGCCUGAUGGAGGGGGAUAACUACUGGAAACGGUAGCUAAUACCGCAUACCAUCAGAUGUGCCCAGAUGGGCUUAGCGAGUAGGUGGGGUAACGGCUCACCUAGGCGACGAACCCUAGCUGGUCUGUGGGGAUGACCAGCCAGACUGGAGCUGAGGCAGGGUCCAGACUCCUCCGGGAGGUAGCAGUGGGGAAUCUUGGCCGCUGGGCGUGAGCCUGCUGCAGUCAUGCCGAGUGUGUGAAGAAGGCCUUCGGGUUGUAAAGGGUUUUCAGCGGGGAGGCGUUACCCGCAGACGAACGCCCGGCUAACGCCGUGCCAGCAGCCGCGGUAAUUC
rnacentral:rRNA from 1 species